rnacentral:rRNA from 1 species
AGGGUGUAAACGCUGCAGACUUGGUGUUGGGAACCCUUCGGGGGUGCUCAGUGCCGGAGAGAAGUUGUUAAGUCUGCUACUUGGGGAGUACGUCCGCAAGGAUGAAACUUAAAGGAAUUGGCGGGGGAGCACCGCAACGGGAGGAGCGUGCGGUUUAAUUGGAUUCAACACCGUAAAACUCACCAGGGAAGACUGUUACAUGAAGGCCGAGAUGAAGACUCUGCUAGAUUUUCAGAGAGGAGGUGCAUGGCGUCAGUGACU